CGCGUAGGAAACUACCCAGUAGUGGGGGACAACAGUUGGAAACGACUGCUAAUACCGCAUACGCUCUACGGAGGAAAGGGGGCGUUCGGCUCUCGCUAUUGGAUGUGCCUGCGUGAGAUUAGCUAGUUGGUGGGGUAAAGGCCUACCAAGGCAACGAUCUCUAGCUGGUCUGAGAAGAUGAUCAGCCACACUGGGACUGAGACACGGCCCAGACUCCUACGGGAGGCAGCAGUGGGGAAUCUUAGACAAUGGGGGAAACCCUGAUCUAGCCAUGCCGCGUGAGUGACGAAGGCCCUAGGG
rnacentral:rRNA from 1 species